CACAUUGUACACAGACACCUGGAACACAAACACCCUGCGCACAUCUGGCACACACCUGGUGUUUGCCUUGCACACUCACUGUGCUGGCUGUGCUAAAGCCCUGGGGCUCUCACGCUCCCCAUGCUGAGCCCGCCGGGGCUGCACAUUCUGGUGUGGCUCUGGUGUGCACAUUCUGGUGUGCACAUUCUGCUGUGGCUCGCACACUCGUCAUGCCAGGCUCAGCGGCGGGCUGGGACACGGGCACGGUGCCGUGCCAGGCCCUGUGCCACCCUGCUGCCUGCAGAGGAACAAAGCCUCUCAGUUCCCAAAGCACCUCCCUGUCCGCAGCCCUGCCGGCCCUCCGAGCAGCCCUGCUGCUGCCACCCGGGCUGUGAGAGCGGGGAUUAAUGCCAGGACCCGAGGGGGCUGCAAUGCCAUCUCUGCUCAGGGCAGACCCUCAAGUGGAGUCCUUCCAUGUGUUGGAAGCACUGAGUUUCCUAUGGAGAGCCCUUCUGGGCGAGGUGCUGUUCUCCCCGAGGGGCUCUUAUUUCUGCCUGCAGUUAAAUCUGGGUAUUUUCUCGGGAGGAGUUUCUUCACCGAAAGGGUGAUCAGACAUUGGCAGUGGCUGCCCAGGGAGGUGCUGGAGGCCCCGUCCCUGGAGGUGUCCAGGGAAUGACUCCACAUGGCACUCAGCGCUCUGGGCUGGCUGACAAGGCGGGGAUCGGUCACCGGUUGGGCUGUGAUGAUGAUGAUGAUGGUCUGGGAGGUCUUUUCCAGCCCCGGUGAUUCCGGGAAGGUGGUUCAAGCUGGUCCGUGCGCCGGUGGGAGGGAGCAGAGCCCUUCGGGCGCCCCUCGCUGUAAUCUGGGCUGGUGACAGCAGAUGGCUCCCGAAGCCCCUCCGAAACCCGCACGGACCCCCGCACCGCGGGCUGCGACCCCCGACGGCCCCGCGGGCGGCGGAACCGGGGCGCAGGGCUGGGAUGGGAGCGCAGCUCCGGCUUCAGCGUCCUUCGGGAAAGUCCCGCUGGCCAGAGCUCCUGCUGACUCGUUUGUGUGACAGCACCGCUGCAGGAGCUGCUGCGGUGCUGCAGGAGCUGCUGCGGUGCUGCAUGAUGCAAUCCCUGCCUCAGAGCCGGCUGAGCUCUCCCCUGACGAGCCCGAGGAUAAAUCCUGCGCUGGUGCCCAGAGCCUCUUUGCUCCCCGGUGAGAGCCACCCUGUGGGGAGGACGGAGUGCUCAAGGACAGGUGACCUGCAGAGCUGGCAGAGCUCUGGUGGCUGCUCUCCUCCAGGAAUAAAGUCUCCCCUGGCAUCUCUGAGAAUCGUCAGUGAAGGAGGAUGCUAGUGCUGGAACUGCCCUUCCAUGACACCAGGUCCAAGGGAAUCUUGGCUUUAAGUGAUGUGAGCCCGGGAGCCCGAUAAUUCCCACAAGGUCCCAUAAGUGAACACAUCCUGCGCCUCCCUGAUGAGUCAGCUCUGCCUCUUAGACACGGGCUUUAAGUGAUCGGAAGGCCUCUUGCAGCUGGUAACUUAGAAAUGGAAAAAUGAUUAAUUAAAAAUAUAUCUGUCCUUA